CCCCGAAGGAGUGAGUGCUUCUGCCCGUGGUAGGCUCUGUGAUCUUGAGGACGUCCUCUCUCCGAGUGACCCCUCUCGAUUCCCUAGGGCCGCGCUUGCCCUCUGUCCGAGUCUCCUGCAUCGGCGCCUGGACGCGGCAACAUAACCCUUGCUAACGCUCGAGUUAAGAGGAACUUUUACGCGAGUCUGCGGCUCUGCCUACGGGGACCUUUACCCAGCAUCAGCAGGAGCCACCCUCAGGAGCCCUUUUGUGCUGCCCGGCACGUCCACAGCAAUUAGAGCAAAAGGACAGAGAACCAUUUCUCUAAGAGCAGGAGCUUUGUAUGUCUUUGAUCAUUGCUGUCUUCCAGAGCCUAGAACAGAACCUGGCACACAGUAGAUGCUCAAUGUUGUAUUUAUUAAAUGAAUGAAAUUAAAUGGAACAAACAUA